CCUACGGGGGGCAGCAGUGGGGAAUAUUGGACAAUGGGGGAAACCCUGAACCAGCGACGCCGCGUGAGUGAAGAAGUAUUUCGGUACGUAAAGCCCUAUUAGCAGGGAAGAAAAUGACGGUACCUGACUAAGAAGCACCGGCUAACUACGUGCCAGCAGCCGCGGUAAUACGGAGGGGGCAAGCGUUAUCCGGAUUUACUGGGCGUAAAGGGCGCGUAGACGGCAGCGCAAGUCAGGGGUGAAAUGCCGGGGCUGAACCACGGAACUGCACUGGAAACUGUGAAGCUAGAGUGCAGGAGAGGUAGGCGGAAUUCUUGGUGUAGCGGUAAAAUGCGUAGAGAUCAGGAGGAAGACCGACGGCGAAGGCGGCUUACUGGACUGUAACUGACGUUGAGGCGCGAAGGCGUGGGGAGCAAACAGGAUUAGAUACCCUGGUAGUC
rnacentral:rRNA from 1 species